rnacentral:tRNA from 1 species
GGUUGUAGCUCAGUGGUAAAGUGCUUGCCUAGCACAUGUGAGGUACUGGGUUCAAUCCUCAGCACCA